rnacentral:rRNA from 1 species
UUUGUGGGGCUAUAAUGCAGUCGAGCGAAUGGAUUGAGAUUUUUCUCUUAUGAAGUAGGGGCGGGCGGGUGAGUAACACGUGUGUACCCUGUCCAUAAGACUGGGAUAACUCCGGGAACGCGGGGAUAAUACCGGAUAAAAGUGAGAACCGAAGGGUUCGAAAUUGAAAGGGCUUUUCGGUUGUCAUUUAUGGAUGGACCCGCGUCGUAUUAUAUAGGUUGAGAGGUAAGGUCUCCCCAAGGUAGCGAUGCGGACCCGACCUGAGAGGGUGAUCUGACACACUGGCUCUGAGACACGGCCCAGACUCCUAGGGGAGGAAAGAAUAGGGAAUCUUCCGCAGUGCAAGACAGUCUGAGGGAGCAACGACGGGUGUGUGAUGAAGGCUUUCUUCACGUAGAACUCUAGUGAUAGGGAAGAACAAGUGGUAGUUGAAUAAUUUGCGACCUUGACGGCACCUACUCAGAAAGCCACGGCUAACUACGUGCCAGAAGGCGCGGAAAUACGUAGGGGGAUAGCGGUAUCCAAAAUUAUUGGGCGUAAAGCGCGCGCAGGUGUUUUCUAAACUCUGAUGAGAAAGCCCACGGCUCAACCGAGGAGGGUCAUUAGAAACUGGGAGACUUGAGUGCAGAAGAGGAAAGUGGAAUUCCAUGUGUAGCGAUAAGAUGAGUAAAGAUAUGGAGGAACACCAGCGGCGAAGGCGACUUUCUGUUCUGUAUCUGACACUGAGGCGCGAAAGCGUGGAGAGAAACACAGGAUUACAUACCCUGAUAGAACGACGCCGAAAACGAUGGAGUGCUAGGUGUUAGAGUGUUUCCCGCCUCAUCUACAUGCAUGAUGUUACACGCUAUUAGAGCACUCCUCCCUGAGGGAGUACGCUCCAACAAGAGCUGAAACUGCAGACGGUACAUUGAGCGGGCGGCCCCAUAGUAGGU